rnacentral:lncRNA from 1 species
UCGCUUUGAUCCUGUUUGUUUGCAUGAUUUGUUCUUAUAAUGUUGCUCAAAGAUUGUCAAGGAAUUUCAUAGCAAAGAAUGUACAGGUCAUGGGUUCAAAACUCCAUAAGAGGGGAGGCGCAAGAGCUUUGUCUUCAGGGGUUUAGCAGUGCACACAAAUGGUAGUAAAUUAUCCUAGUAAGCUUAGCCUAAUCCUCACCUUCUUCUCCAGCCAUUAAUAUUUAAUAAAAAUAUUACUAAAACGUACCAACUUCUGUGAAGUAAAACAUCAAAACACUUUUAAGAUGGAAAAUUUACAUGGGUGGUUGUGUCAUAUAACCAAUUGCGUUGACGGCACUGUUGUCAUUUUACCACCACAAGAAUAAUAUAAAAGAACCCAAACAUACACCCAAGAGUAAUGGAACCGCUCAACUGGCAUGCCCACAAUACAAUACCAAAGAUCAUGUUAAUUGCUAGGGAAAAUGUAUUUAAGAAUAAGAGGUAGCAAUUGUUAACAUAGUGUAACUAGGACACCAAAAAUUAACCCAGCCAUUCCAACAGUAGCAGCAACAACAAAGAGAUAACCCAGCCGUCCCAAAAUACUACACUCGCACAAAUGUUUCAGUUUCUUUCAUACUCCAUCUCUCUGUAUUCUUUUAAGCUACCUGUACAGCUGCAAUGCAAACAAAGAUAUUGCAAUGUUUUUACAUAAGAAAUUUGUUCCAGUAAAGAAUGUCAAGAUCUGCACUUGAAACACUAAAGCACAAAUGUUAUACUUUUUAAAGCAAUACUAAUCUCAAACAAAUAUUUAAAACUGCUCAGACAACUUGGUGAUAAACUUCCUAGUUUCUGUAGCCAUCUUAAAACUCAAAGACAAAGAAGAUGGCACAUGAAUUUGAUCUUCAUCACCAACAAAGAGAAAGUGGAACACUUUUCCAAAAAGAAUAUGCAGUAUCUCUAUAAUGGUUGCAUACAUCAUCAACUAUAACUGAAUUUCACUUAGAGAUGAGGCUAGUCUAGUACUAUUAAAAGUGUACCUCUUCGAUGAAAUAGCGAACUUGGUCCUGCCAUACAAGCCAAAAAGGAUUGGUGCAUAAACAGACCUGUCAAAACCACCAAUCUGCUACUGUAAGUAGGAUGCUACAGGCACCACAAAUGCAUAUCAUGAAUGGAUAUAUAAAGGAAGAAGAAACAUAUUGCAGUGACGAACAAAAAAAAAAUCAGUUUGAACAAAUGAGUAUUAUCAUUACCUCAGAAUUUAUAUUUACUGAGUGGUUAUAGCAAUCUCAGUUGCACCUGGGGGUAAAUCUCAGUCCACACUCAAUAGAAAUAAUGUAGCAGGCAGAAAUAAAGUACAUUUAACCUUUUUUUUUUCUUUAGAUGAGUUGGAAAUACUAAUUCUCUUAAGACUCCUCUCAAAACAAUAAUUAGCAAUUAUCUUUACAAUUUUAGACUAUCUCAAAUUCCCCUUGAAAACACAAGACUAAAUGGUGGACAUGAUACAGUGAGCAUAACUCAGAUGUCCACUUACAAUGAUUCGAAACAGUUCUUGAAAGUUUGUGCAAGUUUAUAACAAUUGAGAACAUAGGUUUCCAACAUCCAUGCAAGUUAUUAGAUUUUUAGCUUCAAUUACUUUUGUACUAUAUUAGCUCAUCAAUCUGCAAUGCACAUUUACUCUCAAUUACUCAUUACCAAAGAUAAAAACCCUACAAUUACAACAAAUAAAUUUUCUAAAAAAUACAUCAGGGUAAAUAUAUUAUCCCACACAAAAUCCAUGAUCAGUUCAUACCGCUGAGAAGAUUCUAUCAGCAAUUACGGUUUCUAUAGACAAAACUAACAAAUAAGAAAAGCUUACCAGAGGAAAGGAAGUACCGCGAAUAUCUAGGAUUGCUUGAACUGAUUCGGGUUAGUGGCAGGGGAAGAAAUUGAACACAACUUCGUUCCUUUCAACCGAAUCGGAUGAGGGAAAGGGGUUUGCUUUGUCUGAAAAUGAGAGAGAAAUAAGAGGGGCUUGCACCGAAUUUGGGGCUUGGCUACUUUCGCCCUAGAUUUGUGGCUUUGUCCGAAUCGGGUAAAGGGAGAAGAGCUCUGAAAUCGAACACAACUUCGUUAUUACUUUCGUAACGAUUGUCUGAAAAAGCGAGAGCAAGGUAAACCAUGACUAUGAGCUCACAGAACUCCUUCGCCCCUUGGGUUUUGAGACAGGAAUACGAGAAUGGCGAAUUUCAAAUUGGGAGAGAGAAUUAGUGACACGCAUGUUUCUUCCCCCUUUUUGUUUGUGACCCGCGCUUCUUUGUUCUUUUUUUUUCAUUUGGUCCGUUGCCUGGUCCGUUGAGGAGGGCCGUUCCUG